rnacentral:misc_RNA from 1 species
UGGGCGCCGUGAUGAACACGCCCGUCGACCUGCUCGAUCCGUUCGUCGGGCGGCCACCGCCCGCGCCGUGACGCGCGUCUCGACGGCGGGCGGCUCCGGCUACGGCGCGUUCGCCCUCCCCGCAUCCACCCGCUCCAGCACCUCGCACUCGAGGCCGCAUGCGAUCCCGAGGUGCUCGUAGAGGAUCCGCCGCACCUCGAGGAUCGUCGCCGGGGCGCUCUGGGUCGAGUGCGUGGAACGCACGAUCGGCUCGCUCGUUGGCGGGCGGCGGCGGCUGGUCGGCGCUUGACUGCAGCGCCCGACGCCGGAGGUCGCGCGCGUCAUCCAGGCGGUGCCGUCGGCCUGCUCCAGGUAUCCGCAUACCCGCCGGUAGGCAGCGCCGCGCUCCGAUCGAAGACGCCGAUGUCGUCGAGCCCGAGGAAGCCGCCCUCGAACGCGUUGUUGCCGGCCCGGUCCUUCCGGUUCACCCACCAGGUGGACUUGAUUAAUCGCGCCCCCGUGGCCCACGGCGGUAACAUUGCUCCGUGAUGCGCACGACGACCUCCAUGAAGCUGAAUCUCCGCGCGAUGUCCUUCCGGGCCACGGCGCUGCUCGGCGCCGCUCUCGUUCUGCUGGGGCCGGGCUGGCCGGCUCACGCUCUGCAAGCUCCGCCUCCGCCGCCGCCGGGGGCGGUUUACGAGGCGCCGCUCCUGACGCCCCGGCAGCUCGACGAUCUGGUCGCGUCGAUCGCGCUCUACCCUGACCCGCUCAUCGCCCAGAUGCUCGCCGCGGCCACCUAUCCGCUCGAGAUCGUCGAGGCCGAUCGGUGGCUGCAGGCCAGUCCGGGCCUGCAGGGCACCGCGCUGACGGACGCGGCCCAGAAUCAGCCCUGGGACCCCAGCGUUCAGGCGCUCGUCGUCUUCCCUUCGGUGCUCGGCAUGCUGGACCGGAACCUGGCGUGGACGAUCAAUCUCGGGAACGCGUUCCUGACCCAGGCGCAGGACGUCAUGGACGCCAUUCAGCGCCAGCGUCAGCGCGCCAUGGGCGCGGGACUGCUGGCGUCGAACCAGCAACAGCUCGUGCAGCGAUCCACCGAAGCCAAUCAGACCUUCAUCGAGAUCCUGCCCGCGCAACCCGAAAUGGUCUACGUCCCGGUCUACGAUCCGGUCGCGAUCUGGGGCGCGCCGGUCUAUCAUCCCUGGCCGCCCUUCUGGUACCCGCCGAGGCCCGUGGGCGCCGUCAUCGCGGCGGGCGUUGUCGGGUUCUUCUUCGGUGUCGUGGUUGCG